rnacentral:misc_RNA from 1 species
GUCGUGAGACAGGUUAGUUUUACCCUACUGAUGAAGUGUUGUCGCAAUAGUAAUGCAACUUAGUACGAGAGGAACCGUUGUUUCACAUAAUUGGUAUUUUCGGUUAGCUGAAAAGCUAAUGCCGAGAAGCUACCAUGUGCCGGAUUAUGACUGAACGCCUCUAAGUCAGAAUCCAUACUAGAACGCGACGAUGUUUACCCUUCCCAAUAUGACACGAGUAUGUAUAGGGGCACGCAUGUGCUUCCAGUACCAUAAUAUGGGAUGCAGCUGUUCAGCAGAAAAGGCUGGGCAGUGGACUCUCUGAAUCAUAAUUCAAAUAUUGGGAAGGAUAAAUCCUUUGCAGACGACUUAAAUAAGGAACGGGGUAUUGUAAGUAGUAGAGUAGCCUUGUUGCUACGAUCUAUUGAGAUUAAGCCUUUGUUCUAUAGAUUUGUUCUUUUGAACAUUUAAAAAAAAAAAAAAAAAAAAAAAAA